UCAUUAUUGUUGUUGCUGCUUUCAGAUUUUCUUUUCCUUGAUGGGCUAAGCUCCUUGUCUGGAUUCUUGCUCAUAUAAUCCAUUAACUGGCCUCUCAAAGCGUNNNNNNACAUCACAGCUAGCAUUUCUGUCAGCUUCUUGUUUUCUGCGCUCACUCGGUUCAAUUCCUCUACCAAAGCUCCAUUCUCUUCUUUCAAUGAAACCUUCCUCCCCAACUCCAUAAAAUUGCUUUGAACUUCUUUCCAAACCUUUCUUGUACAGGAGCAACAUCUUUAGCACUUCGAGGAUUAACAUUAAGAUCCAAAGAAGUGUCUACCAAUGAAUAAGAAUAGUCCAUAGCCGCCGAAGUCGAACUAG
rnacentral:misc_RNA from 1 species